AAAAUAAAUGAUAUCUUAUACACUUCCCAAGGACUGGUAGUACAAAUCAUGAGCUUCUAAGAGUAGAAUUUACAAAACUGAUAUAAAACAAAUGCAUCUUCUGUUUGAAAAGUUACAUAAAUAAAGUUUAAUGAAUCUAAGGCUACCAUGAACAAGAGGCAGCUACAACAGGGACGCCGGUACAUUUUUCCAAGUCAGCUCCCAUCGAACACAGCAAUGUCGACAUCCAAAAUCUGCACGCAAUGUGUAGGAAGUGUAGUAUGAGUACAAUCGACCACAUGUACUCAAAAAGUAACAAACCUAAACUUAGGUUGAAAGUAGUGACAAGCUUGUACCAAGGUCAGAGUCCACACCAAUAUCCAGUAACAUCUUAUAACAAUAUAAUUAAGCAGCACAAAGAAUAAUUUAAUAAUAAAAUGCUCAAGCUCAUUCACAGUUCAAGAAAAAUAAACCUUUUCUUUUCAAGUAUAACAGUAAAGCUCAAUUCUUUUCACUGAAAUUACCAAAAUAUAAGUAAGUCUGAAAAUUGUGAAUUUUUCCAUAAAACCUUUCAACAAGUAAACAUUUAAUUUUCAGAUAGCAUGAGGAAAGUACAUCUCUAUGCCUACAUGUCAAGAUACAUGCAAAAUCAUGAAUGUCACCAAAAUCAGGCGGCAAAAAGAAAUGCAACUCUAAGCAUAUAUCUCAAGUACACAUGCCAAAAUGCAAUGCCUCUCAAUAAUGAACUCACGUACUCACACUCUCAAUCACUCAGCACCGAAGAGUACUUGUCCAAAUUCUCUCUCUAAACUUGGGCGCCUCUCUUGUUCUUGGCAGCCAUGGCUGCGUUGAGCUCUCCCCAGCCUUUGGCUGUGGGAGAGACAAAUCAAAACACUACUGAAACUAUAACAAAUUCCAAAUCAACACAGUCCUAUGCAACACAACUUCAACAAAACAGUGUAUCCAGAGUUGAGUUAAUUCUUGUUGCUGUUGUGCAUGGAGAUCCAACGAUUGAGUUCACCAUGGACCAGGUUAAUGAAUUUACAAGAGAAGAGGGACUACAUCAGGCUGUCGUGAUGAAAUUUUCAUACGGUAAACCAAAAUUACAAGAUAUCAGAAAGAAUCUGCCAGCGCAAUUCGAUAUUCAAGGUUGAUGUAAUAUUGGACUGUUGGAAUAUCGUCAUCUGCUGAUCCGUUUUGAUUUAUUCAACGACUUUGUUAAAUUCUUGUCAAGGUCGACUGGAUAUAUGAAAUCAAAAGGUGAUGAAUUUUUCUUUAGAACUUUUCCAUGGUCACUAGGAUUUAAUCCGAGGGAAGAAACUUCAAUGGCAGUCGUGUGGAUUUCCUUCCCAGGUUUGCCUCCAAAUCUCUUUGCUAAGACCUAGUGCAGCUAGAGUUAAAGUGAUCCUUGAUCUUAUGGACAAACAUCCAAAAAAAGUUAAAAUUGUUAUGACAGAUAGAGUUACUGGAAAAUCCAUUGUGCAUGAACAAGAAAUUGUUUAUGAUAAUCUUCCAAGCUAUUGCACGUACUGCAAACAUCAAGGGCACAAAGAAAUUUCGUGUCGAGUGAGGCAGAGACAAAUUGAAGAGGAGGCUGCUGAAGUAGAUACAACAGAUGAGAUUACUCUGCCUGCAACUGCCACAAGACUUCAUGAAGCUGUAUCAAACAGUGGGGCAAGACAAA
rnacentral:lncRNA from 1 species